GACGAACGCUGGCGGCGUGCUUAACACAUGCCAGUCGAACGGAAAGGCCCUGCUUUUGUGGGGUGCUCGAGUGGCGAACGGGUGAGUAACACGUGAGUAACCUGCCCUUGACUUUGGGAUAACUUCAGGAAACUGGGGCUAAUACCGGAUAGGAGCUCCUGCUGCAUGGUGGGGGUUGGAAAGUUUCGGCGGUUGGGGAUGGACUCGCGGCUUAUCAGCUUGUUGGUGGGGUAGUGGCUUACCAAGGCUUUGACGGGUAGCCGGCCUGAGAGGGUGACCGGCCACAUUGGGACUGAGAGACGGCCCAGUCGCGUACGGGAGGCAGCAGUGGGGAAUAUUGCACAAUGGGCGGAAGCCUGAGGCAGCAACGCCGCGUGCGGGAUGACGGCCUUCGGGUUGUAAACCGCUUUCGCCUGUGACGAAGCGUGAGUGACGGUAAUGGGUAAAGAAGCACCGGCUAACUACGUG
rnacentral:rRNA from 1 species